AAUAUUGGACAAUGGGGGCAACCCUGAUCCAGCCAUGCCGCGUGAAUGAUGAAGGCCUUAGGGUUGUAAAAUUCUUUCGCUAGGGAUGAUAAUGACAGUACCUAGUAAAGAAGCCCCGGCUAACUCCGUGCCAGCAGCCGCGGUAAUACGGAGGGGGCUAGCGUUGUUCGGAAUUACUGGGCGUAAAGCGUGCGUAGGCGGAUUAUUAAGUUAGGGGUGAAAUCCCGGGGCUCAACCUCGGAACUGCCUCUAAAACUGGUAAUCUAGAGAUAUGGAGAGGUAAGUGGAAUUCCUAGUGUAGAGGUGAAAUUCGUAGAUAUUAGGAGGAACACCAGAGGCGAAGGCGGCUUACUGGACAUAUACUGACGCUGAGGCACGAAAGUGUGGGUAGCAAACAGGAUUAGAUACCCUGGUAGUCCACACCGUA
rnacentral:rRNA from 1 species